GGAGAGGUGGCAGAGUUGGUCGAUUGUGUCUGACUUGAAAUCAGGUGAAGUAAUGCUUCCGUGGGUUCGAAUCCCACCCUCUCCA
rnacentral:tRNA from 1 species